AGUGGGGAAUAUUGCACAAUGGGGGAAACCCUGAUGCAGCCAUGCCGCGUGUGUGAAGAAGGCCUUCGGAUUGUAAAGCACUUUAAGUUGGGAGGAAGGGCUGAUGCUUAAUACGUAUCAGUCUUGACGUUACCGACAGAAUAAGCACCGGCUAACUCUGUGCCAGCAGCCGCGGUAAUACAGAGGGUGCAAGCGUUAAUCGGAAUUACUGGGCGUAAAGCGCGCGUAGGUGGCUAAGUAAGAUGGGUGUGAAAUCCCCGGGCUCAACCUGGGAACUGCAUCCAUAACUGCUUAGCUAGAGUACGGUAGAGGGUAGUGGAAUUUCCUGUGUAGCGGUGAAAUGCGUAGAUAUAGGAAGGAACACCAGUGGCGAAGGCGACUACCUGGACUGGUACUGACACUGAGGUGCGAAAGCGUGGGGAGCAAACAGGAUUAGAUACCCUGGUAGUCCACGCCGUAAACGAUGUCAACUAGCCGUUGGGAACCUUGAGUUCUUAGUGGCGCAGCUAACGCACUAAGUUGACCGCCUNGNNAAGGGNGGUCGCAAGAUUA
rnacentral:rRNA from 1 species